rnacentral:rRNA from 1 species
CCUACGGGAGGCUGCAGUGGGGAAUAUUGGACAAUGGGGGCAACCCUGAUCCAGCCAUGCCGCGGGUGUGAAGAAGGCCCUCGGGUUGUAAAGCACUUUCAGUGAGGAAGAACGCCUGGUGGUUAAUACCCAUCAGGAAAGACAUCACUCACAGAAGAAGCACCGGCUAACUCCGUGCCAGCAGCCGCGGUAAUACGGAGGGUGCGAGCGUUAAUCGGAAUUACUGGGCGUAAAGCGCGCGUAGGUGGCUUGAUAAGCCGGUUGUGAAAGCCCCGGGCUCAACCUGGGAACGGCAUCCGGAACUGUCAAGCUAGAGUGCAGGAGAGGAAGGUAGAAUUCCCGGUGUAGCGGUGAAAUGCGUAGAGAUCGGGAGGAAUACCAGUGGCGAAGGCGGCCUUCUGGACUGACACUGACACUGAGGUGCGAAAGCGUGGGUAGCAAACAGGAUUAGAUACCCCGGUAGUC